rnacentral:lncRNA from 1 species
GUUCAUAUCCAGUUGAUAAAUGCAAUUUAAAUUUAGUUUACUUUACUUAUAAGUGAUCAGGAAAAAUAAUAAUGGAUCUUCUACGACGUAUUUUGUACAAUGUUUUUCUGAAUUUAAUAUUCAGUGGUAAGCGUUGAGCAUCUGUUUCUCCCAAAAUUCUAUUUAUUAUCUUGUUUUUGUAAUUAAUAACGAACACACGAAAUGUGCAUAUAUAUAAUAAAAAAAUUAUGUAUAAUACAAUACCAUAUUUCUUUGUGAGCUGUACUUUUUUCAUUGCUCGUUUUUAUAUCAUUUACCUUUAAAAUCUAUAGUUACUCGAGACCUACGAUUGAAAAUUAUCCAGUAUCUACCCCAUAUUCAUGUAAACCAUUAUUUCAGACUUCUUUGAGAGUAGUUCGAUAUAUCUUAACUUCAUAAGUCUUAGUAGAAUAGGAAAUUCCUGAUUUAUCUCAUUUGAAUUAUGUAUAGUUAAUCUUGCUAUGAAGAAUAUUGAACAUAUCAAAUCCGACCUUUCCAAUAUAAUUUCAAAAAGGAGAAAUACAUAACAACUGAUAAAACCAAAUUUUCUAAAUUAACGGAACGAAUUAUAUUCAGACUUGAAACAGUCAUUUUCCCAAAUACAUUUGUAUUGUUUUAGCUACCUAAACUUCCUACUUGCAUGACUGAUGAAAAUACUAAUAAAAUAAUAUGAAGAAUUGAUUGAUUGUUAAUCAAAUUAGAAGAUCUAGUUUUAUUGACAAUGGACAAUUAUCCACUAACUAGGCUGUUUGAUUAACAUACAGUGGCAAAUAAUACAUGCGUAUUGUGAAUGGUAACAAAUUUUACAUAAAAUAUGUGUGUUCUGUUUGUGGGCCAUUUUGAAGGAUGGGAGUUUUUGACUGCCAUCUGUAAACGAAAGCACAUACUUAUCUGAUAUGAAACUUAUCAUUUCAAGACUUUUUUUGUAAAAAUAUGUUUCAAUUAGUUCGGAAGCCAUAUAAACAAGCCUACAAUCUUGACUGUUCUGCCUAUUUUUUUAUUUCUAGAAACGGUGGCAUCAUUGCAUAUCAUAUGGUUUUGUGGUAUGAGAAAAAAUACCAUCACAAAUGUGUACAGACAGAAGACGGACACUCAGUGAAAGCAUUUGCGCACAAUUGCCUAUUUUUACAAUCUUGACCGUUUGAUAUUAAAAUAUUCAAGAUCCAUAACAUAGACAAAUAAAUAUCCAUCAACAUAAAUGUUAGAUAAUGAUAGAAGUAUUUUAUAACACAAAUUCAGGCCACCUUGUAUUACUUGGUUUUAAAAUUCGCCAUCGUAAACAUAAAUGUCGUUAAUAAAUAUAAUAAAAGUUUGAGUUGCAUAUAAGAUGUCUAUCAUAUGCCUAGCUUUAAACCUAAAUUUUUUGAAUGGUAAACAAACCAGUCACGACUUACUGACGAGAUUCAUGUAUCAGAUAUGUGUCGAAUGUAAAAUAAUUGUGUUCUUUUAAGGGCGUGGACCUUAAUAUAAUUUAAUUCAUGUUAAUUUAAUUUAAAAUAUAUAUUUUUUUCAGUUGUGACGGUCCAUGGUGAAUACUGUUAUUACAGUUCUUACUAUACUAAUUAUGAAUGUGAUGGCACAACAACCGGGUGUGUUUAAUUUUCUUUUUCCUUUUUUCUUUUAUUGUACCAUAACAUGCAAAAUUUCGUUUUAAUUCAUGAAUAAACGUUUUGGCUGUUUUGUACACAAGUAAACGGGCGUGGAUAGAAAACAAAAGACACCUGUAGUGUCUGAUCAGUAUAAUUAGAAGAUGUCAACUUCAUAUAAUUCUGUUCUCGUUUGAAUAUGUUGUGUUUAAUAUUUUUUUUCAUGGUGAAACCAAAGCAAUUUUAAGUAUAUAUACUAAUAGUCUCACUAUUUGUGGAAAAUAUUUCAUACAGAUAUUGUCUCUGUGUUUCUUCGCUGAUUUCUAGAAUUUUUCACAUAGUAUUUUAACUGGUCAUUUACGAAAAAAAAAUGUUUGACUAGCGACGGUUUAACGACAUGAGACAAAAGUCACAUGUAUAUUUUAGACGAUAAUAAAAUUAUGUUAAUGAGAAAUGAUAACCUUCUUUGUACUAGACUGACACCCUGGUCGCACAUAAUAGUGCAUCUGGAUAAGUAUGGUUUGUUUAUAUUUAUGAUCCACGUACAUAAUUUGAAUAUUAAUUGAUACUUAAUACUAACUCUUUCAGUGGUGCCAUAGCCGGUGCGAUAGUAGGAAUUAUCAUUUUUAUAGUUGUCAUAGUUGUUAUAAUUGUCAUUUGUAAAAAGCAUACAACUAGGACGACAAGUAUUCAUACCACUUCACACACUGGUGGAACUACAGUUAUCACACAACAGCAGCAACAACAAGGUAAUCUACAUAACAGAUUUUUUAUAUUAUAAAACGAAUGGUUGAUUUC